AUUACCGAGUUUACAACUCCCAAACCCCUGUGAACAUACCUCUUGUUGCUUCGGCGGGAUCGCCCCGGCGCCCUCUGCGGCCCGGACCCAGGCGCCCGCCGGAGACCCCAAACUCUUGUUUUCCAGUGGAAUCCUCUGAGUCUCACAAACAAAUAAAUUAAAACUUUCAACAACGGAUCUCUUGGUUCUGGCAUCGAUGAAGAACGCAGCGAAAUGCGAUAAGUAAUGUGAAUUGCAGAAUUCAGUGAAUCAUCGAAUCUUUGAACGCACAUUGCGCCCGCUAGUACUCUAGCGGGCAUGCCUGUCCGAGCGUCAUUUCAACCCUCAAGCCCCCGGGCUUGGUGUUGGGGCCCGGCCGCCGCUCACCCGGUGGCCGCCCCCGAAUUUCAGUGGCGGUCUCGCUGUAGCCUCCUCUGCGUAGUAGCACACCUCGCAGUGGAACGCGGCGCGGCCACGCCGUAAAACCCCCAACUUCUGAAAGGUUGACCUCGGAUCAGGUAGGAAUACCCGCUGAACUUAAGCAUAUCAAUAAGCGGAGGAAAAGAAACCAACAGGGAUUGCCCCAGUAACGGCGAGUGAAGCGGCAACAGCUCAAAUUU
rnacentral:rRNA from 1 species